AGUGCAAGAUCUGCAAGUCUUUGUCUGCAACAAAGGAUCCAGGAUGAGUUUCACAGAAUCACAAUGGUGCAUCUUGAAUCAAAGUUCAUGUCCAAACUGGAUGAAUAUACUCCUCGACUUCUGAACCUCUUCCACUCCAAGGGCGGAAGCAUGGGAUUGAGACUGCAGGCUAUCCUACUCAAGACUCCAAGCAAUCCUGACAUCAACAUGACCAGAGAUGUUAUCAUUCGAUGUUUGAUGCUGUACCUUGGGGAAUCUACAGAUCAACUCUUAAAAGAGUACGAUGUAAGUUGAAGUAGAUGUUAAAAUAUAAAGUAGC